rnacentral:rRNA from 1 species
ACGUAGGGUGCGAGCGUUAAUCGGAAUUACUGGGCGUAAAGCGUGCGCAGGCUGUUUUGUAAGUCAGAUGUGAAAUCCCCGGGCUCAACCUGGGAACUGCAUUCGAAACUGGCAGGCUAGAGUCUUGUAGAGGGGGGUAGAAUUCCAGGUGUAGCGGUGAAAUGCGUAGAGAUCUGGAGGAAUACCGGUGGCGAAGGCGGCCCCCUGGACAAAGACUGACGCUCAGGUGCGAAAGCGUGGGGAGCAAACAGGA